GAUGAACGCUGGCGGCGUGCUUAACACAUGCAAGUCGAACGGUGAAAGAGGAGCUUGCUCCUCUGGAUCAGUGGCGAACGGGUGAGUAACACGUGAGUAACCUGCCCUUGACUCUGGGAUAAGCGUUGGAAACGACGUCUAAUACCGGAUACGACUUCCGAAGGCAUCUUCUGGAAGUGGAAAGAAUUUCGGUCAAGGAUGGACUCGCGGCCUAUCAGCUAGUUGGUGAGGUAACGGCCCACCAAGGCGACGACGGGUAGCCGGCCUGAGAGGGUGACCGGCCACACU
rnacentral:rRNA from 1 species